CGUUAUUCGACUGACUGUACCAACAGAUUUGAAAUGAGAUAUAUUUUUACAAAUAUCUCCGACUCCCAAAGAAAGGACGAAUUCGCUGCAUUAGAAGAAACAACUGGAAUCUCAUGUGGUUCUCAUGUAAUAUCAGGAGUCGGAUAGCGAAAACGUCUGAAGCAGACAUGGAUCAUGCACAAGAGACGCAAGGGGGCACGAGGAUAAUGGUGUGGAAAUGCUGAGUCCUUCUGCUACGGCUUAAAAGGCAGCCAAACGUCAAGGAAGUUGGCCCAAACCGAAGUUAUCGGACAGUUUUUGAACCGAAUCCAAAUCAGUUCCCGUGGUGUCAUUUUCAUAAAGGUGGGGGAAACAUGUGAGAUCAAAUCAGAUAUUUCUUUCUUUGGAGGAUUUGGAUCUGUCAGCCCAGACACGCACUGCUUGCCAUGCCUCAGAUAGGUGGACUGUGAUCCUCAGAACGUCCAUGUGCCCGUGUGCAGAACUGCAAAGCCUCGUCCAGAUGCUGACGUGCUGAUCUCGGCGUAUGCGGAAUUGGAGUUAAAAAAAAAAAAAAAAAAAAAACUGCAGCACACCUUGCAGUCGAAGAAUAAGUCGAUUUUUAGACGAUUCUAUCACAUAACGUAGCAACCCACACGAGCAGCAAUUCAAAUCUUUAAUCUUGUUUUUUUAAAACACAUUGUGGACAUAAACUCCCUUCAUGGCUGCAUUAGGCCUGUGCGCUAUUGUGAGUCAUUCUCUUUAGACAUGCACAGAAGCGUUCUUAUUCUUUAAAGAAAAUCAGUCAUACCAUCAAUCAUAAUUUGUUUUGUGAAUUAUGAAUAUAUUCUGUCAAAAAUAUAACGACCAAAACCCGCCUGUA